rnacentral:rRNA from 1 species
ACCGGCCACACUGGGACUGAGACACGGCCCAGACUCCUACGGGAGGCAGCAGUGGGGAAUAUUGCACAAUGGGCGAAAGCCUGAUGCAGCGACGCCGCGUGAGGGAUGACGGCCUUCGGGUUGUAAACCUCUUUCAGCAGGGAAGAAGCCACAAGUGACGGUACCUGCAGAAGAAGCGCCGGCUAACUACGUGCCAGCAGCCGCGGUAAUACGUAGGGCGCAAGCGUUGUCCGGAAUUAUUGGGCGUAAAGAGCUCGUAGGCGGUUUGUCGCGUCUGCUGUGAAAGCCCGGGGCUUAACCCCGGGUGUGCAGUGGGUACGGGCAGACUAGAGUGCAGUAGGGGAGACUGGAAUUCCUGGUGUAGCGGUGGAAUGCGCAGAUAUCAGGAGGAACACCGAUGGCGAAGGCAGGUCUCUGGGCUGUUACUGACGCUGAGGAGCGAAAGCAUGGGGAGCGAACAGGAUUAGAUACCCUGGUAGUCCAUGCCGUAAACGUUGGGCACUAGGUGUGGGGGACAUUCCACGUUUUCCGCGCCGUAGCUAACGCAUUAAGUGCCCCGCCUGGGGAGUACGGCCGCAAGGCUAAAACUCAAAGGAAUUGACGGGGGCCCGCACAAGCGGCGGAGCAUGCGGAUUAAUUCGAUGCAACGCGAAGAACCUUACCAAGGCUUGACAUAUACCGGAUCGUUCCAGAGAUGGUUCUUCCCCUUUGGGGUCGGUAUACAGGUGGUGCAUGGUUGUCGUCAGCUCGUGUCGUGAGAUGUUGGGUUAAGUCCCGCAACGAGCGCAACCCUCGUUCCAUGUUGCCAGCACGUGAUGGUGGGGACUCAUGGGAGACUGCCGGGGUCAACUCGGAGGAAGGUGGGGAUGACGUCAAAUCAUCAUGCCCCUUAUGUCUUGGGCUUCACGCAUGCUACAAUGGCCGGUACAAAGGGUUGCGAUACUGUGAGGUGGAGCUAAUCCCAAAAAGCCGGUCUCAGUUCGGAUUGAGGUCUGCAACUCGACCUCAUGAAGUCGGAGUCGCUAGUAAUCGCAGAUCAGCAACGCUGCGGUGAAUACGUUCCCGGGCCUUGUACACACCGCCCGUCAAGUCACGAAAGUCGGUAACACCCGAAGCCGGUGGCCCAACCCUUGUGGAGGGAGCCGUCGAAG